rnacentral:misc_RNA from 1 species
AACAGACUCUACCUUAACCCCACUUAGGUUUAUGUGUUUGCUAAUGCUAGCGAGAAGGGAAAGGGUUGGUCAGGCUUGGCCUAAAUGGUGGGAUUAAGAUAAGCUUGGCACCGGUUCGAUUCGGAUCGGAACCAGCAAUUUAAUGUUUGAGGAGGGAUUGAAUUGAAAUCAGAUAAGAUUGGCGGUUUCGAUUUCAAUUCAAUCCUAAUUUCAUUAAGACGAAACUCUUUAAAAUCACUACAUUUAAGUUUUCUAGACUGGCAGUUCGAACCACGGAUUUUGAUUCCUCAAGAGGGGCCCUAAUUGGCUCCCUAAAACUAAUUAAAGCUCCAAUUCAAGUCCAAAGCUGUUGAUUUAGACUGAUUUCAAAUUUAAUUUAGAUCACCUUCAAUCUGAUUUAGAACCUGAACCGCCCCUAGACUGUGAUGCAUAGUUGCAAAGAGACGUGAUUAAACUUCUCAACUCAAUUGGUCAAUCAUGUGUAUAUAACACUUAUUUACAUGAAUCCAAGCUAUAUUAUUAUUGAGUGCUGCGUACAAAGCCUCUCUCUCUCCUCUCUCUGGGUGAUUGCUUAAUUGCUUAAUUGCUAUUUGCUAACUGCUUAUACCCCAUAAGAAAGAAGCAAAAGAGAUAUGAAUGGUGAAGGUGCAGUAGAGGAAUCAAAAGUUCCUCUACUAGGAGAUCAUUUUGGUCCGAAACUUGAAGCAGAUGAUCAAGAUCAGAGUCUUACGAAAAGGGUUUGGAUUGAAUCAAAGAAGCUGUGGGAGAUAGUAGGUCCAGCAAUCUUUAGCCGCCUUACCUCAUACUCCAUGCUUGUUAUCACACAAGCUUUUGCAGGUCACUUGGGUGACCUCGAGCUUGCAGCCAUCUCCAUUGCCAAUAAUGUCAUCGUUGGCUUCGACUUUGGCCUCUUGCUGGGGAUGGCUAGUGCUUUGGAAACGUUAUGUGGCCAAGCUUUUGGGGCCAGAAAAUACUACAUGUUGGGUGUAUACAUGCAGCGUUCAUGGAUUGUAUUGUUCUUGUGCUGUGUCCUGCUUUUGCCUCUAUACCUCUUCGCCUCUCCAAUGUUGAAGCUUUUGGGACAGCCCAAAGACGUAGCAGAGCUUUCUGGGAUUGUUUCAGUGUGGAUGAUACCACUUCACUUCAGCUUUGCGUUUCAGUUUCCGUUACAGAGAUUCUUGCAGAGCCAGCUGAAGAAUACAGUAAUUGCAUGGGUCUCUUUAGUGGCUCUGCUAGUGCAUGUGAUGGUGAGUUGGCUACUUGUGUACAGGCUUCAGCUUGGAGUGAUUGGCACAGCCAUGAUUCUCAACUUUUCUUGGUGGGUUCUAGUUUUUGGGCAUCUGGGUUACACCAUUUGCGGUGGCUGUCCUCUCACAUGGAAUGGGUUCUCAAUUGAAGCCUUCUCUGGUCUCUGGGAAUUCACCAAACUCUCUGCUGCUUCUGGGGUCAUGCUCUGGUAUACCCCACAAAUCUAUUAAUUUCCUUUCUCGCUUCUUGUAAUUAUUUUAUUUUAUUUUUCUUUCUGAAUCUAAAUCUCUCUCUCUUUUUUGGUGGUAAAUUAAGUUUGGAGAAUUGGUAUUAUAGAAUACUUAUCUUGAUGACUGGGAAUCUGAAGAAUGCAGAGAUUGCAGUAGAUGCCUUGUCCGUAUGGUAUGCAUUUCAGAAGAUAAUUAUAUGAAUAUAACUUUGUCAAUUUCAUAUGAUUAAUUUUAUAUUAUAUAAUUAUAUUGCCUUUCAUCAAUUUUAGAUAGGAAAUUCCAUUUGCUGCAUGGACAGGAAUUCUAUUACUUGUUGCAAUUUUAUUAUUAUUUUUGUGACCAUUUGUUGAUAGAUAUUGAUUGGCUUCAUUAUUUUUUUUUUGGCAGUAUGACCAUUAAUGGCUGGGAAAUAAUGAUCCCUCUUGCAUUCUUUGCAGGCACUGGAGUAAGGGUAGCAAAUGAGCUAGGAGCAGGUAAUGGGAAGGGAGCCAAAUUUGCAACGGUGGUGUCUGUAACAACGUCGAUAAUAAUUGGGCUAUUCUUCUGGGUAUUGACCAUGAUUUUCCAUAAUCAGCUUGCCUGGAUAUUUACUUCCAGUGUACCUGUCCUUAAAGCAGUGAGCCAGCUCUCAGUUCUCCUGGCUUUCACUAUUUUGCUCAACAGCGUUCAGCCGGUUCUCUCUGGUACUCUUUUUUAUUCUUUUAAUGUAGCAGUCAAGUGAUUUUCUCUAACUAUCACUGAAUUAUUAACUCAAUAACUACAUUUGAUCCUUAUUCGUCCUCUUGUUGUUUUUUUCUUUGUAGGGGUUGCAGUGGGAUCUGGAUGGCAAAAGUAUGUUGCAUACAUAAACUUGGGUUGCUAUUAUUUGAUCGGUGUUCCAUUGGGAUUCAUGAUGGGUUGGCUGUUUCACUUGGGAGUUCUGGUACAUGUUCUUUAUGUUCAUUGACUGAUUCUUGCACAAAAAUGGAGAAAGUAUACAUGCCUUGUGACCUCAUUAAUUAGACUUUUAUUUUUCAACUUGAGGACUGAGUUUCAGCAUGGUUUUAUCAAUGAAUUAAGCAAAUAUUGUUAUAUAAUCAGGCAUUCCCUAGGUGUUUCUAUCAAGUUGUAUACUACAUGCUGGCUUAUGUGGAAUUUGUGUGUAUGUGUAUGAACAUAUUAUCUAAUAUAUGUGAAAAUGAACAAAAUCAGGGAAUUUGGGCCGGAAUGAUUUUUGGUGGGACGGCAAUUCAAACAUUGAUAUUGGCCAUAAUUACCAUUCGAUGUGACUGGGAGAAGGAGGCAGAGAAAGCAGCUUUGCAUUUAAAGAAAUGGUCGGAAGUAGAGUGAAAAAUGGAGGAAUUGAUUGCAAACAAGCGCAUAUGUGAUGUAUGAUUUUUCUCACUUCUAGUAUCUAUAAUCAAAAUUCCACUUCAGUAACAACGAUGCCUACAAUAUUGAAUCGAAUGAAAUGUGAUUAAUUUUUAUUAUUUUCAAUCACAAGGUCAUUUUUUUUAUAGAAAAAUCAGGGUGAGUGAAAACUUAAACUUAGUGUCUGCCAAGCGAAUAAUAUACUUUUAACUACUAAAUUAAGUCAGACUAAGCACAAGGUCACAUUUUUCAGGCUAUUGUGACAGAAAUAUUCAGUGAUGAUACAGGAAGUUUGUGGGAAAUUUGGUAAAAGAAAGAGAUGAUGAUUGAAGGGCCUGUUUGUGGAAAUAGGAAGUGAAAAGUCUUGGUUGCUAAUUUACUCUAUAAUCCACUAGAUGAAUCAUUUGUAAUUUACUUCAGCAAUUUUUUAGUCUUAAUAUGCAUCAUUGCUUGGAAUAAUUAAUAAUUGAAAAAAGAUUUAUAUGGUGCCCUAGUUAGUGCCUGUCAUAUUUAAUGUAUUAGAGAAUUUAGAGAGAAAGGGGCAUGACUUUAGGCCAUUGGAAGAUAUUUUUCUUGACAACAUCUAUUAAUUACGUCACAUGGCAAUCAAAAGAGGUAGAGAUAAUGCAAUGGAUGUGUGUUGAAUAUUCAAAACUUUAAGCCAUAAUUAUAUAUGGAUAGUCUAAAUGUAAUUGAG